ensembl:lncRNA
UAUCACUGCUUAUCCAUUACAGUGAUCACAAACAGGCGUAAACGAGCUCUCUCGGCUUCCUUUAGGGUAUUUUCCAUUUACAAAUGAUGCUUUAAAGUACCACAACACAUCCACUCGUUCUCUUUCUUUCUCUCACAUAUGGAUAUGUGUAGAUAUUUCAGGUGCAUCAAAAAAAUAUACAUAUAUAUAUAUAUAUAUAAAUGUGGUGGUAAAUAGCCCUGCCUUCGUGCAGCUGCUGCGCCUCCGGGCUGCCUGCCUUGCGCCCUUGACAUCGCCGCGGCGAGCUGCCUGCGCUGCUCCUCGCUGAGUUCACCCAGGUCCACCGGAGUCCCCUCGGGGACCCGGACGAAGCCGCCCUUGCCGUCGGGUGCCAGCCCCUCCGGUAGCCCGGACGGCGGCCCUUCGCCUCCUUCCAGGCUCGCUUCGUUCCCCAUGAUCGACCCCUCCCGUCCCCCUCCCCACCACCACCACCACCACUACCACCUCCCGUACGCGGAUGGAUGUAGGAUCCGAGCCUUCCCCCGCGUUUUUAUGUCCAAAGCGCGCAGCGAACACGGUGUCCCUCGGUGCCUCGAAGCAUCUCAGAUCGGGUUGUCCCCCGGCGGUUAGUGUCCUUCCAUGUCCCUCAUUUCUCCUUGUUUUUCCGUGUCGCGCAUCUCUGCAGCUGUACGUACACCACAGUUACCACAGUUUUCCGUGAGGGGGGUCUCUGUCUUACUAUUGCUCACAGUCAGAGAAGGGCACUUCCGGUAGGUUUUACAAAAUAAAAAUCAUAAUCAGACGGCAAUAAUGCGAUUUAUUUAGUUUGGACAUUGGGAAAUGAAAUCAUUAUGGGGGCCUAAUGCAUGAUCUGAAAUUAAAAGACGCAAUAAAAGCAGUGAUACUUAAAUAACAUAAAACCUUACAGGUAGAACAGGUAGGCCGCUCUUGUGUACCCGAUGAGGGGAAUAUAAUUUAAAGCUUCACUUAAGUAAUCUGUUCGUGCCAAACGAUUCCAGAACGUCAGUCACUGAAACCUCUAACACAACAUUUUAAGGCAUUUAUAUUGAAACCCAACUGUUUACUACUUCCGUUUCGUUCCAUGGAACAGAUUGUCUAACAUCCUCUGGACUCUCCUGCUCACCCACCGCGCCUGGUUCCGCCUGUGGCAGGUGAUCAGAAGACAUCCGUGGAGAAAAAUGUGUUUUUAAAGGGGACAUCCUCAGCUAAAUGUGUCUGUUUUGAUAGUUUAAACUGCGAGGCUGAGGGAAACAUAAAGGACAUCAUUGGUGCUUUUUGUUUUCUUCAUUCAUUAUUAAAGUCAAAUUGAAGAUACUUGCAGAUGUUUAUAGGUCAAGCAUAUGGAGAGGGGAUGUGAAAUGAUAGUGGAAGCACAUAUGCACUAUAAAAUAUCUAUUGAAGAGAAAUAUAGGAUGAUGUACUUUAUGUGCAUUUUAUCCAUCCUGACCCGCACAAGCAGUUUGGUUCUGCAAGAGACCAAAAAUUUGCAGCAAUCUCAUUCAAAAACGCCAUACGUCUUAUUUCAGUGGAAAGUUCUAACAUAAAAUAUUCAAAAACACAGAUAAAACAUCAGCAAGGUUCUUCAGAUGGCUCAUAGCAUGAAUAAUAUCUCAUUCGCUUUGUUCUUUUUCCCCACUUGGCAGCUAGAUGUCUCUAAAAGGCUGUAUAGUCUCAAAUAUGUUAAUUUGCAACUGAAUGCUGGCAGAAGCAUGCGGACAUCAAGCUGACUGUAAAUUACAGUGAAUUAUUUAUUCCCUGACUGCCGUUGUUUUCAUGGUGGGACCACUGUGAUCCAAUGAGUGUAAUUCAUUGGCUGCAGUAUGUUGUAGGUGAAUACAUAAACAAAUGUACAGUACGAAUGUAUUAUUAUCAGCCCCAGAUGUUGAAAAAUGACACGGCGACAAUAUAUUGAGCCCCCAUCUACUGAGGAUAUGCACAAGCAGUCACCAGAUUCCGUGGAGAAGGAUAUUAAAACGCGUCGCCUCUGCUGUACAUCACGAUGAUGUGCUGCAAUCUGACAGCGAGGGCUCAUUUGCUCCCUUGUCUCUGGAGCUCUGGGGCAGACGUGUCCUCUAUGUGUGCCUUGCUCAGGGCCCUUAGUACCUGGGCAUGGAGGGAGGGAGGGAGGGAGGGAGGGGGGGGGCCGGAUGACUAGUCUGCAUCCUCAGCCAAAGCCCAACGUUUGUUUGUUUCCUUUCUGUUUUCCUGAACAGCUCCUUAACAAAAGCAUCAAGGACUUUGUGACGCUGCACAUCAUCAUUUAAACCAAAUGUUAGCUGCUACGCCAGCUUCAGCAAGUACGAACAUUUUUAUUAUGCCUCUGAUUUUAUGUGUUGUGAGUCUACCCAUUUCCAUUUUCAGCAUAUCAAAUUCUUUGGAAAUGCACUAGAUUAGAUUUCUACACUAACACUCUGUGAACAGUUGCUAUGAAGCUACAACCAGGAUGCUGAAGACAGGAAGCAGAGGAAGCCAGUUACCCAGGCUUUGUAAAAAAAAAAGGUAGCAAAGCCUAUAACUUUCAGCACUAUAUGUAUUUUUAAUACAGACAAGUGAAAUAUAUGUAAUUUGUAUUUUUACGGCGCGUGAUGUGCUGGAUUGUCCCUGUGUUGCCCCUUUAAAGAGAGACAUCCUGACUCAGGGGUGUUAUAUUGCAUUAUUUACCUCUGUUUAUGUGCAGAAAAAACCUGCUGUACAACCUCAGCAUGUUGGAUUGAACAACCGCAAUAUGAAUAGUGUAAACAGUCUCACAGCCUUAUAGGUGCCUAAAGUUUAUUUAAUUUGGACAGAGCCAGGUUAACUGCUGCAACAUGGUUCGGUCUUUUCCUUCAUGCUUUCUUUGUUCCUCCUAUCAUAUCACUUUUCUUUAAAUUCUACAUUUAAAAUCACAUUUCCUUGCUCUCCACCUCCAGUACUUUGUCUUACUAUAUAUAGAUACGCCUCAUGUUCUUCAUCCUGGUCUCCCUCUCUCCUUUAGUCUUCUUCCUCCUCCUCCUCCUCCUCCUCUUAGUGUACGUCCAUGCGUAGGCCGUGUAGCGAUUGCUCGGCUCCUCCCCUCCUUCCCACUGAUCGCUGAGGCACGGAUCGUCUCUACGCUGUGAGGAGGAAGCAGCUUGUGCGUGCGUGCUCUCCCUCCGUAUCUCACGCACGCAUUCACACAAACACAUCGACUGAAGCACCCGGACGUGCAAAGCAAACGCCUUCAACCAGGCAGACAGACGGACACACGCACACACACACACACACAGACUCCUGCAAACACAAGCUGUGACACACUCAUGCCCAGGCAUAAGAGGUCCGUCUAAUCCUCUUUUCUUCUGAGAGGCCAAUCGCACGCUGCGCUGUCCAGUAAGCUGUUUUUUUUGGUCCUGCUGUAACUACCUGUCAGAGUUGAGGGACAAGAUAAAAAAAGGACUCCACGAUCAAUUAGUCAUCCUUUAACAAAACUAAGUUUAACCCCAUACUUUCUCACAGCGACAAACACCCCUGAAGCUUCACUGAGAAGCCACAACACCACCAUCUGUUGAGGCUGGGAAGCACAGACAGACGUAUAGAGGACGACAGGACGGCAAUAUUACAGGAAGCAUAAAUUCUAUGGCUGCGGUACAAGGGAAACGGGCCGUCUUUCUGGCUCACUGAAUGCAGAGGCAGAUUCUCUGUGAAUCAUUUUCCUCGGCCCCCCCCGAAGGCAAACAAAGGCGUCUGAUUCUGGGACUCGACACGACGCAGGCGUCGGAGAAGUCGCUUUUGUUUCAUGCAAAUACACAGCAGCACAAAUACACAAGGGACCAGCAUGCAGAGGCAAGAAGAGAUAUGCUC